CCUUUUCUGUAAAAUUCUAUGCCUGGCCAUUUCCUGUGCGGGUGCACUAGGAUUCCAUUGUUUCUUAGAGGAGACGUCAGCCCGGAUCCCGUUUUAGAACCAGUAGAAUUGUGCACCGCUGAUGUUUGCUUCACUGUAUAAGCUGGUUUACUCGGAAUAUUCGGGAUUUUUGCUGGAAUCCAAGUGGUCUUUCAGAGAAACCGAUGAUUUUUCUGAUGAAGCUGUUCACACGCUUUUGAAGCCAGUGAGAAUGGGUUGUAUAGACACCAAGACUGUAUGAAGGUAUGAAAUUGUCUUGGUAAGACGAAGUUAAAAUUGGGGCCACCACACAAGCAAACAUGGACAUCACCUGUAUCUGGAGUCUCAAAGUCAUGAAAUACGCAGUGUUUGAAAGGAUACGAGAAAUACAUUGAUUUGAUUUGAUUUUUUUCUUUUGGCCAUCCUUCGUGUUACAAAACAGUUGAAGCUAGUAUCAUUCAAGCACGGAGUGUAAGUGAUCGGUGAGGCUGGAUGGAGGAAAGGCAAAAGAAAUGAAUUUGAAGGACAAAAAAACAAAAAACAAAAACAAAACAAAAACACAUAUCCUUCGAAGACCUCCCUGUCUCGAGGACAGAAAAUGCCUUGGCAGUCGCGAUUUUGUGCAGUCAGAAGGGAGCUGAUUUCCCAGCUGUUCUGGUGUAUUUUCCUUAUUAGUCUUUGCUCCCACGGUCUAAAAGCAAAUACCGGAUCUAAGCGCCUACAGUACUGGUCAAGGACUGCAGCUUCCUCGUGUGUGACUCACAGGCGCGAGCAAACCACCUACUGUAACAGCUGGCCCCAGACCCUGGCCCGGCCACAGCACAGCAGCUGCUUUGCUGGACCCCUGCUUGCUUGGCUAUUAACUGUCUUAACUGUUGCUCUUACCUUUAUGGGCUGUGGUAAAGGCAGGCUUUAUUUAUUUAUGUUUGUUUGUUUUUGAGAGAGAG